rnacentral:rRNA from 1 species
UACGGAGGGUGCAAGCGUUGUCCGGAUUUAUUGGGUUUAAAGGGUGCGUAGGCGGCCAUUUUAAGUCUGGGGUGAAAGCCCGUUGCUCAACAACGGAACUGCCCUGGAAACUGGAUGGCUUGAGUACAGACGAGGGUGGCGGAAUGGAUGCUGUAGCGGUGAAAUGCAUAGAUAGCAUCCAGAACCCCCGAUUGCGAAGCAGCUGCCUAGACUGUAACUGACGCUGAGGCACGAAAGCGUGGGGAGCGAACAGG